CCUACGGGAGGCAGCAGUGGUGGAUAUUGCACAAUGGGGGAAACCCUGAUGCAGCAACGCCGCGUGAGUGAAGAAGGUUUUCGGAUUGUAACGUCCUGCUCUUGGUGAAGAUAAUGACGGUAGACAAGGAGAAAGCUCCGGCUAACUACGUGCCAGCAGCCGCGGUAAUACGUAGGGAGCGAGCGUUGUCCGGAUUUACUGGGCGAAAAGGGUGCGCAGGCGGCUCUGGAAGUCAGGCGUGAAAGCUAGGGGCUCAACCCCUAAAUGGCGCUGGAUACGGUGGAGCUUGAGUGAAGUAGAGGCAGGCGGAAUUCCCGGUGUAGCGGUGAAAUGCGUAGAGAUCGGGAGGAACACCAGUGGCGAAGGCGGCCUGCUGGGCGUUAACUGACGCUCAGGCACGAAAGCAUGGGUAGCAAACAGGAUUAGAUACCCUUGUAGUC
rnacentral:rRNA from 1 species